rnacentral:rRNA from 1 species
AGGAUGAACGCUGGCGGUAUGCUUAACACAUGCAAGUCGUACGGGUGGAACUUGUUCCAUCUAGUGGCGGACGGGUGCGUAACACGUAAGAACCUACCUUUUGGAGGGGGAUAACAUUGGGAAACUGAUGCUAAUACCUCGUAAUACUGAGGAGUUAAAAGCGGGUAUCCUGCAAGGGAGCUACGCGCCAAGAGAGGGGCUUGCGGCUGAUUAGCUAGUUGGUGGGGGUAAUGGCCUCCCAAGGCCACGAUCAGUAGCUGGUCUGAGAGGACGACCAGCCACACUGGGACUGAGACACGGCCCAGACUCUUACGGGAGGCAGCAGUGAGGAAUUUUCCACAAUGGGCGAAAGCCUGAUGGAGCAAUCCCGCGUGGAGGAAGAAGGUCUGUGGAUCGUAAUCUCCUUUUCUCAGAGAAGAACAAAAUGACGGUAUCUGAGGAAUAAGCUCGGCUAACUAUGUGCCAGCAGCCGCGGU